rnacentral:lncRNA from 1 species
UUUUUUUUUUUUUGGUUUUUUGUCUUUUGCCUUUUCAGGGCCCCACCUGCGGCCUAUGGAUGUUCCCAGGCUAGGGGUCCAAUCGGAGCUGCAGCUGCCGGCCUACACCACAGCCACAGCAACGCCAGAUCCGAGUUGUGUCUGUGGCGACCUACACCACAGCUCAUGGCAACGCCGGAUCCUUAACCCACUGAGCAAGGCCAGGGAUUGAACCCACAACCUCAUGGUUCCUAGUUGGAUUCAUUUCUGCUGCGCCACGACAGGAACGCCACAAUACAGUAUUGUUAACUACCAUCACCAUAUUAGAUCCUCAGAGUUCAGACACCCUGCAUCACUGAAUUAUUGUACCCUUUGGCCAAAAGAAAAUAGCGGUCUAUCCAUACAAUGGAAUAUUAUUCAGCCUUUAAAAAGAAGGAAAUCUUGUCUAUGUGACAACAAGGAUGAACCUGGAGGGAUUACACUACUUGAAAUAAAUCAGACACAGAAAGAGAAAUGCCGUGUGAUCUCACUUGCCUGUGGAAUUUCAAGUGGUAACACCCAUAGAAGCAGAGACUAGAAAGGUGAUGGCCAGGAGGAGGAGUAGGGGUGAGGCUGUAGAAAUGAGGAAGUACUGGUCCAAGAGCACACCUUCUUUUUCUUGUGGUAAAAUACACUUAACACCACAGUCAUCACUUUAACCGUAUUAAAAUAUACAAUUCCGUGUCAUUAAGUGACGUUCACAUUCUGAGUAACCAUCACCACUUUCUUUUUUUGGCCGUACCCAUGGCACAGGGGAGGUCCUGGGUCAGGGAUGGACUCAAGCAGCAGCUGCCACCUAUGCCACAGCUGGGGCAACGCUGGAUCCUUAACCCACAGCAUGGGGCUGGGGAUCAAACCCAAACGGCUACAGAGACAAUGCAUGGGUGUGGCCCUAAAAACACAAGAAGACAAAUAAAUAAAUAAACAAACAAACAAAUAAAGGAAUGAGAUGUACCAGUUAUCUAGCGCCGUGUAACAAAUUACCCUAAGACCUAGCAACUUAAAAAUAAGAACUAUGUAUUAUCUCAGGUCAGGAAUCCAGGCGAGGCUUAGUUGGGUCUCAGCAUCUUUGAGAAGGCUGCUCUGGGGUAUCAGCCUGAAGAAGACCCAACCUAGACUAUUCCUUGGGCCCCAACACCCCCUCCCAUGGAGACCCUUUCUCUAAGGUGGGAUGUCUCUUCUCUCUGAAGAACAGCAGGCCCUUGUACCAAUCUACCUCCCUGCCCACACACAAUGGCCUUUCCCCUCGGGCCAGAAGCAGUGGACGUCUCUCUCCAGCUAUGCUGGUCCCCCUUGUCUGGCCACCACCAUGUCCCUACUGCACCCAGCCCGGGGCUGGGUGCCAACACAGGUGCCUUGUUCCUUCUUCCUUUGUACGCAGGUUACAAGAGGGCUGGAAGUCAGAGGCCCCGCCAGGGCUGAGGGCUCAGAGCCUCUCAUAAGGGGAGGUCAAACAAAAUGAAAACCUACCUCCCUUGCCCCAUCAUCUGAAUUCCUACAUUGGCUAUGACAUGGCUAAGGGGGAAAUAUUGGAUUUAUUUUUAUGAGUUAGUCAUCACCCUAAGGCCCUUAAGAGGAACCGCGCAAAGUGAAUCCACUCAGAAGGUUGGAAGGUCAUCGCUAACUUGUAAAAAUAAAUCCAAUAUUUUUCACUCUGUCUUAUUAGAUUUAUAUGAUGCAGACAUCCGAGGGAAGUUUGGUUCUUUUUUUAAAAAAUGGUCAUUUUCCAGGGCUAUUUAGAGUAUUUCUUUCUUGACUCAACCAAAUACCCAUUCCAUCUCCAGGCAGAAGCUGAUCGUUUGGCGGUCUGGCAAUUUCUUGACUUAAAAAAAUAAAAAAAAAGGAUUUUGAAAUGAGUACCUAAGAGUCUUUACAUCUCUCCCUUCCAUCACUCCACCUCUACAGAGACCAGCACAAAUAUUUCUAAGCCUGAAAUUGCCAACCAUGGAGGUUGGAAAUAACUGAAAAUAGUUGAUGGAUGGUACACCAUAGGUUCAAAAAUUCACUUUUUAUCUGAAGAAAAAAAAAAAGGCAGUCAUGUAGGAUCAAUGGCCUCACUGUCAUCAGUCAGAGAAACGAGCUGUGGUACCCACAUGCUUCUCUCUCAAGUUCCCAGGCUGCUACUGCCUUGGCCAGCAUCUCUCAAAUGAGAAUGAGGGGUUAUUGGAUGCUCAGGGGUUUGUGGGCAAAGUCCAUCCUGGCUUCUGGACAUUUGCUCAAGCUCACUCCCCUUCUCCUCUCUCCUUCCUCACUGCCCGAAUAUUUACUCGCUCUAGCAGGAGUCUGACAUUUAAUUACAACAAUUUCCCACACCCAAAACCAGUCUCCUCUGUUUGCUAGAGCUGCCAUGACCGAGUACCACAGGCUGGGCGGCUCACACAAGACAAAUCUAUUUUCUUCCAGUUCUGGAAGCUGCAAGUCCAAGGUCAAAAUGUCGGCAGGUUUGGUUUCCUUGGAGGUCUCUGUCCUUGGUUUGCAGGUGGAUGCCUUUUUGCUAGGUCCUCAUGUGGUCUUUUUCUCUGUGUUUGCUUAUAUCUGACAUUAAAACUUCCUCUUUAUAAGGCAAUCAGAUUGGAUCAGGGUCCACCCUAAGACCUAAUUUUUUCUUUCUUUUUUUUUUUUUAAGGGCUGCAAGUGCAGCAUAUAGAGGUUCCCAGGCUAGGGGUCAAAUCAGAGCUACAGCUGCUGGCCUACGCUACAGCCACAGCCACACAGGAUCAGAGCUGUUUCUGUGACCUACACCGCCUCUUGAGGCAACACCAGAUCUUUAACCCACUGAGCAAGGCCAGGGAUCUAACCCACAUCUUCAUGGACACUAUGUCAGGUUCUUAACCUGCUGGGCCACAAUGGGAACUCCAGGAAAAGUUCUUUAAAGGGAAAGAGAAAGACUACAUUUUCUUCUACACAUUGUCUCCCUAGAUCCUAGCAAGAGACCUGCUCCAUAGGAUAUUCCAUCAGUUUUCUCUAGAAUGAUGGUUUCACCAGCCAGAUACAUUUGGGAAACACCAGAUGAAAGCCAACAGCAAAGUUUUCUAACUCUGGGCCUUGGCAGCGCUUUGGU